UACGAAGGUGGCUAGCGUUGUUCGGAAUUACUGGGCGUAAAGGGCUCGUAGGCGGCCAACUAAGUCAGACGUGAAAUCCCUCGGCUUAACCGGGGAACUGCGUCUGAUACUGGAUGGCUUGAGUUUGGGAGAGGGAUGCGGAAUUCCAGGUGUAGCGGUGAAAUGCGUAGAUAUCUGGAGGAACACCGGUGGCGAAGGCGGCAUCCUGGACCAACACUGACACUGAGGAGCGAAAGCCAGGGGAGCAAACGGG
rnacentral:rRNA from 1 species